UACGUAGGAGGCGAGCGUUGUCCGGAUUUACUGGGCGUAAAGAGCGCGCAGGCGGCUGGUCAAGUCCGAUGUGAAAGCUCCCGGCUUAACUGGGAAAUUGCAUCGGAAACUGAUCGGCUGGAAGGUGGGAGAGGGUAGCGGAAUUCCCGGUGUAGUGGUGAAAUGCGUAGAUAUCGGGAGGAACACCAGUGGCGAAAGCGGCUACCUGGCCCAUUCUUGACGCUGAGGCGCGAAAGCUAGGGGAGCAAACGGG
rnacentral:rRNA from 1 species